UGAAGAGUCGUCCUCCUCCUCCUUCUGUCUGACAGAAAGCGUGGUCCUGCUGGAGGCUGCAGGAGUGCAGCUUCCUGAGCACCUGGCAGCUCAGAUACAGUGUUGAUGAUCUGAAGAGGAAGCAGAAGACAUUGAACACAUCGCAGGAGCAGCAGUGACAAACGCCACGCUGAUGAUGAAUGUCUUGAGGUCUGCCACUAACAGUCUGGAUGAGUACACAGAGGCUGUGAUGUCAUACAUCGCCUUCUGCCAGGACGCACUACGCUGAGUUACAACAACAACAAGCCCUGGUUCACAGAUCAACUCAGACGGUUAAGGCAGAAACCGGAGGAGAGUUUUCAAAAGGCUAAAUACACCUUCAACAGGGCGGUAAGAGAUGCUGUCAACCUGGCCCUCCACCUCAUCCUCAAGCAUCUGGACUCAGGUGGUCUGUCUGACAGGAGACAGCAGGUGAAGCUGGGUGCCAUCAUCGAUGACAAACUCACCUUCGAGCUCCAAACUGAAGCUGUCAUCAGCAUGUUCACUUUCUGACGAAGCUUAGGAGUUUGAAUGUUGACAGCACUUUUAUGAAGAUGUUUUAUUCCUGUUUCAUUGAAUCAGUUUUAACAUUCUGCAUGGUGACCUGGUACGGAUCACUCAGCAUCAAAAACCACAACAGAAUGCAGAUCAUUGUUAAACUGUGUGUCACAAUCACAGGCUCACCACUCUGACCUCUUAUUUAUAUAGCACAAAGUGUCUUAAGAAAGCUCUGUAAGAUGAGAAGAUGAGAAUUUAAGUUAAUUUAAAA